UGGCGGAGCCAUCCUUGGGAUACCACCCUUGUAGUACUGGGACUCUAACCAUAGGCCAUGAAUCUGGUCUUGGGACACUGUCAGGUGGGCAGUUUGACUGGGGCGGUCGCCUCCCAAAAGGUAACGGAGGCGCGCAAAGGUUCUCUCAGUACGGUCGGAAAUCGUACGUAGAGUGUAAAGGCAAAAGAGAGCUUGAUUGCAAGACAUACAGGUCGAGCAAGGAUGAAAAUCGGACUUAGUGAUCCGGUGGUUCUGCGUGGA
rnacentral:rRNA from 1 species